rnacentral:rRNA from 1 species
CAAGUCGAACGAGGUUAGUUUUGUAGCAAUACAGAGCUGACCUAGUGGCGAACGGGUGCGUAACACGUGACCUACCUGCCCAAAAGUGGGGGAUAGCUCGCCGAAAGGCGAAUUAAUACCGCAUGUGGUCGCAAGACCAAAGCAGCAAUGCGCUUUUGGAGGGGGUCGCGGCCUAUCAGCUUGUUGGUGAGGUAACGGCUCACCAAGGCUUUGACGGGUAGCUGGUCUGAGAGGACGACCAGCCACACUGGAACUGAGACACGGUCCAGACACCUACGGGUGGCAGCAGUCGAGAAUUUUUCUCAAUGGGGGAAACCCUGAAGGAGCGACGCCGCGUGGAGGAUGAAGGCUUUCGGGUUGUAAACUCCUGUCAUCUGGGAACAAAACUCGCAAGAGCUUGAUAGUACUAGAAGAGGAAGAGACGGCUAACUCUGUGCCAGCAGCCGCGGUAAUACAGAGGUCUCGAGCGUUGUUCGGAUUCAUUGGGCGUAAAGGGCGCGUAGGCGGCGGGGUAAGUCUGGUGUGAAAUCUCGGAGCUCAACUCCGAAAUUGCACUGGAUACUGCUCUGCUAGAGGGCUGGAGAGGAGAUCGGAAUUCACGGUGUAGCAGUGAAAUGCGUAGAUAUCGUGAGGAAGACCAGUGGCGAAGGCGGAUCUCUGGACAGCUCCUGACGCUGAGGCGCGAAGGCUAGGGGAGCAAACGGGAUUAGAUACCCCGGUAGUCCUAGCAGUAAACGGUGCACGUUUGGUGUGCGCGGAUUCGACCCCGUGCGUGCCGGAGCUAACGCGUUAAACGUGCCGCCUGAGGAGUACGGUCGCAAGAUUAAAACUCAAAGAAAUUGACGGGGGCCCGCACAAGCGGUGGAGUAUGUGGCUUAAUUC